rnacentral:rRNA from 1 species
AGAGUUUGAUCCUGGCUCAGGAUGAACGCUAGCGGCAGGCCUAACACAUGCAAGUCGAACGGCAGCACAGAGUAGCAAUACUUGGGUGGCGAGUGGCGCACGGGUGCGUAACACGUAUGUAACCUACCUCUAACCGGGGGAUAGCCCGAAGAAAUUCGGAUUAAUACCCCAUAAUAUUAUUGAAAGGCAUCUUUUAAUAAUUAAAACUCCGGUGGUUAGAGAUGGACAUGCGACUGAUUAGCUUGUUGGUGAGGUAAUGGCUCACCAAGGCUGCGAUCAGUAGCUGGUCUGAGAGGAUGAUCAGCCACACUGGAACUGAGACACGGUCCAGACUCCUACGGGAGGCAGCAGUGAGGAAUAUUGGGCAAUGCCCGAAAGGGUGACCCAGCAACGCCGCGUGGAGGAUGAAGGUCGUAAGAUUGUAAACUCCUGUUAGAGGGGAAGAAUAACUAAGUUUGGAGCUUAGUAUGACUGUACCCUCAGAGAAAGCCCCGGCUAAC